rfam:Verrucomicrobia subdivision 6 bacterium BACL9 MAG-120924-bin69 contig02822_1_120924-bin69, whole genome shotgun sequence.
GGGUCCAUAGCUCAACGGUUAGAGCAGGGGACUCAUAAUCCCUUGGUUCCUGGUUCAAAUCCAGGUGGACCCA